GGGGAAACAAUCCCAUUUGGAGGACAAUCAGGCAAACAUGAUAGAGUUGAGGUCAUAAGCAGAGGACCGACGGUGAAACUCGAUGGCACUCUCCCGUCAGGCAUGGGUGUACAUUUUCAAUUACUGAUUCCCCAUGAUGAGUAUGAGGUUGGGCGCCUUUUUGUCGACAAUGGUAGCUCAGCAAAUGUCCUAUCUCUAGAUGUUAUUAAGAAGAUAGGUGGACAUCAGGAACAAUUAAGACUGCAUGAAGGCCCAUUUUUAUGGAUUAUCUGUUGAGGCAGUUAGGGUAGAGGGCCUACUCCGACUUCCUGCUGCUAUUGAGUCGGUCCCAAGGCAAGCUCACAUGUAUACCGACUUUUUGGUGGUUAAUGUCCCGUCGCAUGCCACAGCAUCAACAUGCGACCAACACUUAAUGCCAUUCGUACUAUCAUCUCGACCUAUCACUUCCUAAUGGAGUUCAAAACAGACAAUGGUGUAGGGAAGGUUCGUGGCGAUCAGUCCAUGGUCUGUCAAUGUUAUAUGGUGGCAACCAGGGGCAAAUCUCUAGAUCAAGCAAUGACAGCAGAAAUGAAUGCUAGAGAUCCGUUUAUCUACAGUCGGCCCACUCCAGGAGAUGAGGCAGUAUAUGUGCGCCUUGAGGACAAGGUACCUGAGACAACAACACGGAUUGGGAUGAACUUGCCAUUGACUGUGGCCACACAGAUGACUGAUUUUCAAUGAAGUAAUGCAGAUGUCUUUGCCUGGGAGCCAUUAGAAAUGCCCGGGAUUGACCUACCGUUCAUGGCUCACCGAUUGAACGUCUCGCCAGAGUACAAGCCUGUUAGACAGAAAAAAUGAUCGUUUAGGCUGGAGCGUCAGCAGCUUAUUAAGGGGAGACCAGCAAAUUGUUGAAGGCGGGAUUUGUGAGAAUGUCAUGUAUUCUGGAUGAUUAGCUAAUGUGGUGCUGUUAAAGAAGUUGAACGGUAAAUGGCGUAUAUGUGGGGACUUCAUCGACCUCAACAAGGCUUGUCCUGUGGAUAGUUUUCCACUGCCAAGAAUUGACCAGUUGGUGGACAUGUA